ACCCAGCUGACGAGUCCCAAAUAAAACGAAACGCGCGUCCUGGAU
rnacentral:hammerhead_ribozyme from 1 species